GUCGGCGUCUCUGAGCGUCGGCGUCGGCGUCGAGUGGUUGUCUAUCAUUUGAACACUUUGAAGGCACCAGGGGAGCCUCGGGUUUAAGACAAGAAGACUGAGGCCUGAAGUGCUCAGGGAUGAGCUCACCAGCCCUGUAGGAAGCGGACUCCCGAUUGUGGCUCUUCGGCUCUACACUUCUGUGUUCUCCUACGACACCCGAGAGUUGGCCACAUCAUGCUAAGAAGACUCAGUGGAAACAGAAUGAAAGGCCUCUGCCCACAGGAAAUGCAGUGCAGUCCAGGGGACUGUACAAACGCAUGGAAAAUUCCUGAGGCUGUUUGUAUCCAGAGCUGCUUCAUUACCCGAGAAUCAGAAGGAAAGGAUGUCGAGGAGCGUCACAGGCUGUCUAACUCUCCAAGGAACUGUUGUCAGCAGGGUUCCUAACUAGGCUCCCACCACCUCUGCAGUGAGGACCCCUGCUAACCCCCAUCCCCUCCCCCACCCCCGUGGGGGCCUCAUACUUAUCCCCCUGGUGUGAUUGACUGCCAGGAAAUGAACAAAAAAACCAACCCAUCCAGAUCAGCAAGGCAGCAUCUGUUGCUCCUGGGAAGUUAAACAAUUGCACUUCGAAAUAACAGCUCGACACGGAACAGAAGAGAUG